rnacentral:lncRNA from 1 species
ACCUCUAGGGUAAAAACCAUGGCAAGAAACUCCGAAAUUAUUAUGCAGCUAACAGCUGCCCUCCUCCAGCCAGGAUGAGCAGCGUGGCGGAGCCUGUAGCCACACCCCUCGUCCCUGUCCCUCCCCAGGUGGGCUCCUGCAAGCCAGGGGGCAGGGUGAUCCUGGCCACAGAGAAUGACUACUGUAAGCUGUGCGAUGCCUCCUUCAGCUCCCCCGCGGUGGCACAGGCGCACUACCAGGGGAAGAACCACGCCAAGAGACUUCGUCUGGCCGAAGCUCAGAGCCACUCAUUCUCGGACUCUGCAGAGGCGGGGCAACGGCGGACCCGGAAAGAAGGGAGUGAAUUUAAGAUGGUGACCACCAGGAGGAAUAUGUAUACAGUCCAGAGCAAUUCAGGUAGCCUGUGUGUCCCGAGUGUACAAAGCCCACAUGUGUCUGCAAACGAUAGCAGUAGGUGGGCCUAACGAAUUAGGUUAGUGAUUGUUUUCCUGAGUUGCUCUUCUAGCUGACAGCCUGCUGUUUCUUUCUGGUAUUCUCUAUUUCCUAUUCAGUAGACUAUUUAUCUUGGAUUUAGUGUUUUAGAGUCUCUUUUACGUCCUUCUUAAAAAUAGUUAUCAGAGGGUUGGGGAUUUAGCUCAGCGGUAGAGCACUUGCCUAGCGAGUGCAAGGCCCUGGGUUCGGUCCCCAGCUCCGGAAAAAAAAAAAAAAAGAAAAAAGAAAAAAAUUAGUUAUCAGAUGAGAUAUGUAAAGCCCGUUAUAAAAUGGACCCCCUUGUGGGCUGGGAAGAUGGUGCAGGCAUGCAAGCACGAGGACCCGAGUUUGAUUCCAGUCUGAAGUGGAAAAAGCCAGGUGCAGCAGUUCACAACACCUCUUACCUCAGGUGGAGAUGGAAGGUCCCUGGAGCUCACUGGCCUAACAGCGUAGCUAAGUCAGCAAGCUCCAGGUUCAGACUCAGAACUCUGAGACUCUGGCUCGAAAUAGAAGGUAGGGAGUUAUUAAGGGAGAAACUGGACACGGGUGCAGGCACGUAUGCACACUCAUGCUUCCUGAUUUUAAGUCACACCACGUUCAGUGUGACCUUUAAACAGAUAAUAAAUGAGAGUUCUCUAGGAAGUUCUUGUGAUGUGUGCAUUCAUUGGAGAGCCGUGUGUUUAUGGGAGUGUUCUCUGCUUAUCGGAGUCCUGGCUACCACAGCCCUCCUGUGCCAUGCACGCCAGCAGGGGCUGUUUGUACAAGCAGGGAAACAAAAACAACAACAACAAAACCAGAUUUCACCGAAUAACAAGAGACAGCUGAAUAACAAGAUACAGAAAGUCAGAAAAGCCUUUGGUCUGAUAGAUGUGAUCUUAGCCUAUUACUAGUUAUGGCCAAAGUCUACUGAAAGACAAAGAUGGCCGAGAUGAAGGAACAUCUCCUAGCCGUGUUAAUGUCAAGGAAAGUAUAUUUUAGGAUGGGGAUGACACAGAUCAGGUUCUUUGAGUAGAGCAAUCCAAACAGAGAUGGGGCUGGAGCCAUGGGUUUACCCUGGUCCUCACGCUGGCUUCAGAUUUGUCACAGUCCUUUGCUUCAGGCACAAGCCGCCAUGCUUGGCUACAGUCGUUUUAUUUUCUUAUUUUUUUUCUUUUUCUUUUUCUUUUUUAUUGUUAACCAUUUUAUGUUUACAUUUCAAAUGUUAUCCACCUUCUUGGUCUCCCCUCCAUGAAUUCCCCACCCCAUCCCCAUUGUCUCUAAGAGGAUGCUCUACUGUCCACCCACACCUCACCUCUCUAGCACUCCCCUUCUCUGGAGCGUCAAGCCUCCACAGGACCACAUGCCUCCCCUUAAGCUGAUACCUGAUGAGGCCAUCCUCUGCUGCAUGUGUUUCAGGAGUGGCUAGUCUUUAAACAUUUUUAAGAGCCGUGAGCAUUUAGAACUACAGGCUUGGCUUUAUAGUCAGUGCCCUGGCACUAGUUGGAAAAUCAUGUUUAUAUUUAUAAUUGAACUUUUGUGUACAUGUAACUAAAGAAAAAAAUUCAUUCACCCCUCCUUCAUUUAAAGUUAAGAGUCGGAAUUUGAAUUUAGAGUUACAGAUCACAAUGAGGACUGGUGAAGUAUUUUUACUAAAUGGACAUUCUGAGGAUUCGCGCGCGCGUGCGUGCGUGCGUGCGUGUGUGUGUGUGUGUGUGUGUGUGGUGAGUGUGUAAAGGCUAGAGGUUUAAUUUUGGGGCGUCUUUCUCUAUUGCUCUCCACCUUACAUUUUAAGACCGGUUCACUCCCUGAACUUACUUACAGCUUACUGAUUGGCUAGGCUAGCUGGCCAGCAAGUCCCCAGGAUCCACCCGUCUCUGCCUUCUGCACUGUGGUUACAAGCCCAGGCCAUGAUGCUUUUAUGUGGGUGCUGGAGACCCGAACUCAAGCCCCACCCCUCCCCUUCCUUGACCCUCACGCUAUCUCUCGCUUCAGCAGGUCCUUACUUCAACGCCCGUUCUCGGCAGAGGAUCCCGCGAGAUCUCGCCAUGUGCGUUACUCCAAGUGGCCAGUUUUACUGCUCGAUGUGUAACGUCGGAGCUGGCGAAGAGGUGGAGUUCCGGCAGCAUCUAGAGAGCAAGCAGCACAAAAGCAAGGUGUCCGAGCAGCGGUACAGGAGCGAGAUGGAGAACCUGGGCUACGUUCAGUGAUGGCCGCCCUCACAGAGAAGCCUGUCCUGCCUGUUUGCCUUCUGUCGACCUGCCUUGCUUUGUGGUCCUCCAUGCCUACAUUCCUCAUUCUUCUGCUUAGUGCGAGUAACCUGCAGUGGUGCCAUGAGCCGCCAGGUCGGGGUGGGCGAGGGAAGUGUUUCUCAUAAGUCACGACGAUGCUCUUUUGGGCCAGCUGUGUUAAACAACUCACAGUGGUGUGUGAGCUUCCUGCCCCCUCAGGUGUAACUUCUUAUCUUGGCCAAGUUCUGGUUAAGCAGUAGUAGCCUGACCAUUUAGAGCCAUGAAUAUUUAAGGAUGGCACCCACUUUUGCAGUUUUAGUUUUACGCACAUUAGACGAAUUGACUUGAGUUCUUCUGAUUAUAGAGGAGACAGGUAAACGGAGAUUCCCGUUUCCGGAUGCUCCUGGGAACCAUUACUACAGUGUGGUGUUGGUAAGAUGUGCUGUCAUGGUGUGUGCAUGGGUCUCUCAGCAGCCCCUGGUUCUCUGUGGCAUAACUCUCCCUCCAUAAUUGACACAUAGGUUUUCUUGAAUUCAUAUAUGUCCAGAAUACUAUGUUCUUGUGGACAUGUAACGUCAUCUCCAGCUGUGAACUGCACACAUGUAAUCCUAUCUCCUCCUGUACUUAGAUCAGCUUCUCCGCUCACCCCAUUCUCUUGGCCCAGAUGUGCCGGCAGUUUCGGAGACCCAGAUUUGACUAAUGAGUUGAAGAUGGAUAUUCUUUUAGAAAAUAUAUUUUCAGAUGAUUCAAGGAAAUGCAAGGAUGUGUUUGAGAUUUCAAUUUGGAAUUCUAUUUUCACUGAUGAUUGUGUGAACUCCUGGGACAGUCAUUCUAUGGCUUUUUGACGAUUGCAUCCUGACACUGCCCUGACAUGGGCGUGCCUGGAAGAUACCCGUCUGCUGUUUCUUAAGUGGAAAAUUUCCUCUCUCUCUCUUCUUUUCUUUUCCUUUCUUUCUUUCUUUCUUUCUUUCUUUCUUUCUUUCUUUCUUUCUUUUUUUCUUUCUUUCUAAGCUGAUCAAGUUUCGGUGUCAUUUCCAAUAGAAAAACAUACAAACAUUGCAUUUUCUUCUUUGCCUCCUUGAAGAGACUGAAAAACACAGAUGACUUUGGUGUCUAAUGAUUAUAAUGGGAUUCUUAUUUUUUAAAUAAAAAGCCAUAGUGUAUGUCUAGACGGACUGAUGGAGUGUUAUGUGAACUUGUGUUCACCGUGUGUCCUUUGUCCUCCCCUUUUCCUUCCUGUGUGUGAGGCCAGCACGCCCGUGCUCUUAGGGAGGUAUGCUUCUGCAGAAGGCUUAGAGCAAGCAGUAUUUUGCACUAUUUAACAAAUACAUAUUUCACUCUUCGUGCCACCUGAGAGUUCUCUGGGCAGAAGGAGAGGGAGGAAACGCUCAGCUCCCUCCUUUCCUUUUCUUCUUUAGAAUAGUUGAGGACCCACAAUGAAAGGUUAAUUUUAUGAUUAGCUUCUGGAACAGUACCAGGUUACUUUCUCCUGGUGAAAUUGCUGGUUUCUGGAAAAGUAGAACUGUUCGGUUAAGCACUUGCCCCUUACAAACAGAAGAAAGUACAGCAUUAGUGUAAGAUUUGAUCUCCAUUUGUAGUUCCUCAUACCAAGGACCCCUCCUGUGGCCGUCUACAGAGCUGGUCAGUUUAGGGCAAUUUAGGGUGUGUCUUGUUAGCCGUUCGGUUGCUCAUUUUGCUGCUCAAUAUAAUUCUUCGGUAGACUUAAAUAUAUUGUUGGCCACUUGUUCUGUGAUGGUUUAACAGUCUCAUCUGUUUUCUCACAGGGUGUGUGUCUAAGUGUUUCUGUGUUUGUGUCCCCAGUUUUAUAUGAUAUCCCAGAGACAGUUUCACCUCAUCUUUAUCUCAGAUAACCUUGAAAGAUUCUGGGUAUGGAUUUACAUUUUAUAAAAGUUGACACUCAUCUGCUUUGAGUUUUUUCCUCUGGGAAUCAAGUCAAAGGAUAUCCCCUUCCCCCAUCCCCAAAUGCUCUCCUCCUGUAUAUACAGAAAACAGUGGACUUAAGGACUUGAUGUGUUUUCAAGCCUCAUGAAUUCAGGUUUCUAGUCUCCCAGUGCCCUUAAUGGAUGUUAGGGACGCAUAAGUGUGGUUUCUUUUAGAGUAAAUGUUAGAUUUCUGGUGUUAUUUCUAUACUCCUUUGAACUAGAGAGGGUGAUGUGUUUGUUUUAUGACACUCUGGUACCAGGUUGCCUAUGAUAACUCCGUUUGUUUCCGACCUCUGGAAGUUUAUAAGUAACGGCUAUGGUCAUUGUUGUGGAUGUCUCAAACACUUAGAAGUUCCCUGACUGAGGCUGUGUUGUCCUUACUUGUAUUCAGUGGGUAGGGCAGAGGCUGUCAGAACUGCAAUGGUGCAGUUUCUCACUCUGUGAACUCUGUAUGGACAGCGUCCCUUCCUUGUCUGGUCAAGCUUCGGUGGCAUCUGAGUCAGUUAGGCGAGCUCUCUGUUAGCUUAGUUUUGCAGUAGGAAUCCCCCCCCCACCCCCCGCUCCCGUUCCCCAGGAAUCCUAUACAUUUUGGAUGUCACAGUCAUGGAUGGACAGAAGUGUAAGGGGGACCUUGGUCCAAAAUUAAGUAAUUGCAGUUUCAUCGAUUAUCUGUAGCAUCGAGGUCUGUUCCUGUGUGGCUCUCUGCUUCAUUCUGAGGCCAAUCAGAACACCCGGAUCUAAGGCUUCAGGAAGAGUCCGGUUUCAGUCAGAUGGUCUGGAUCCCAUAUGCCUUCAGAGGGCAUUAGCUUUGGAAGUUCAGAUAUAGCCCUGUGUCCUUUGACCUUGUAGACAUCGCAUUAAGCAGGCAUUUUGCUGGUCUGGGUUGAUCUAGUCCUGCUGCUUGUAAAUGCAUGCCUGUUGUUUUACGCCUGUCUGCUUGCCUCUUACAAACUGAAUCCUGCAUUCUCCCACACUGUUUGUCUUGACAAAAGUUCCUCCUCAACACUUUCCCUUUUGGUUUGCCACUGGCUUCAAGAGUUAGGAGGUUUGAAGCCCUGGAAAUGGAUGAAGGGCCAUGGCUGAGAGCUUGUGAUACGCUGAGGUGACUUUCCCGCCUCACCCCUACAGAGCUGCCCUGUGGAGCUUUGUGUAGCCCUUGGUCUACAGCCCUACAAUCCCAGCAGGGAGAAAACAUUAUACAUACAUAUGUAUACCUGAUUAAGUGUUCUGUGUAGCUAGGGACUUGGAACUAUCCCAGCCUGCGAUUCCGGGGAGAAUGAGCAGUGCCAGUCAGUCCAAGGGCAGGUGAGUGACUUCCUCGUAGUGCUUUCUUUGCGGAGAGGCCCAAGAAUGUUCUGUAAAUGUCAAGAACUUGGGCUGGAAGUAUUUACCAGAAAAACUGGUGGGCUGUGUACCCAAGCGCUGGAGCGUCUUUAGAAAUGGGGAAACAUUUUGUUGGUGUAUGCAGAAGUUUAUGUAGAUAUUUGGAACAGGUGUUUAAAAAAAAAUUCUACCUUGCCCCCUCCCCUUAACUCUCUGUUAGGCGUUUUAUAUGUGAAUUAAAAAAAAAAAAGCUUUGUUGCUUUUGUGUUGUGUUUGGGCGAGUGUCCCGUGAGCUGCCAUGUCAGCGUAGCUGAGUGGACACUAUAUGUCGUGUGUCCCCCCCGUUUCUUAGUGCAGUCUCGGUUUGCUUUUGGGUACAGUGUGCACUCUGGACAGGAGCCUGGCUGCUGAGGCUGGCAGUGGUCACCUCGGCGGCCAUCUUCGAUGCUACAGAGGACUCAGAGCUUGAGAUGCUGAUGCUGGAAAAACUUCCUACACUGACCGUGUUCCAGCUGGUUCUUCUGUAGAGUGGAGACAAUUAUGUAUCUACAAACAGUGUAUUGCGAGACUGUCUGGGACAGUAGCUCCAGAUCACGCUGGACUUCAUCUCUGCGUGGAUGGAGGGAGCUUGCCAAGCAAGAUCGAGGCCUUUGGAAACGACAACUUCCUUCCUUUGACUAACUGAAAACGCUAAAAUUCCUGAGGUCUUUAUGAUCUUUUGAACAUACAAUUAAACCAAUUUUCAUGUAGAAAUAGUAA